GCGGACGUGGUGGAAUUGGUAGACACACAGGACUUAAAAUCCUGAGGCCUAACAGCCGUGAGGGUUCGAGUCCCUCCGUCCGCACCA
rnacentral:tRNA from 1 species